AUUUCGACAAUGGCCAUUAAAGGCAUAAGCUGCUCGUCGUUGAAGUGGCGACUGCACUUGAGCACGCU
rnacentral:sRNA from 1 species